CUGAUUUACAUUUAAAUUACAAAUUACGUUUUGCUGGCAUUAAUUUACAAUGCUGCUUAAAAAAAAAAUACAUAUUCCACUGUACAUGAAUAAUAAUUCUGAGCAGUCAGAUCUUGCUGGAUUGCUAUGAUAUCUUGGCAGUGGGUGCUGCAUACUAAUAUUCCUAGGAAGUUUUCUCCCUGUGAGCGUGGUGUUUCUCCAUGCACAAGCCUUGCACAUUGUCAUGCAGCCAGCCAGCCGCCGUGCAGCCCGUUGCCAUAGGAUCUGCAGAACGAUCUGCCUGCACAUGCAUUUUUAGGAGACUGCAGCAUAGCUGCAUGAAAAAAAGGCUCUGAAACAUGUACGCUCAUUCCAGGGCCAGAACAAGGAGCUUUCUAUGAAUCACUGCAGCCUGUGAGCGUGCUAAAUGCCAAGAACUGAGUGGGAUCUGUUCAUGCCAGUAUGUGGCUGGGAGUUUUUCGAGGAACAGCAGGAAGGCUGGUGCAGCCCGGUGCACGGUCAGCUCUGCUCGCACCUCUCUGUGUUCAAUUCACCCGAUGCUGCUCUGUACUGCCCCGAUCACGUUGCAGGCUGCAGGUCAGCUCCCAUUACUUCAUCCUUGGGCUGUGUCUUUGGCUCGUGCGUGGCACCUGGGAUGUGGAGUAGCUGGGGCCGGUGGGAACCAGAGCAAGGCCGGUGUGCGGUGCUGUGUUCAGGUUGAGAAAACGUCAGUCUUGACAUUCAGAACCAUCCUCCGUACAAAAUCCACGCUCUUCUGCAAGAAGAAAGGCUGUCUGUGAAAACAAAGCACAGAAUAAAGCAGAGCCACAGUCACCCUCACUUACUCACAAGAAGCAGUGCUGAUAAAUGACUAAUAGGAGUGACUGUUCAUAAAGCUGGAUUCAUCCUUAAUUUCCUCUCUCAGAAACUUUUCAGGUUCGUGAGCAACAUCAUUUCAGCUUUACUUUCCCAGGAAGCUCCUUUCUGAUGGGAAAAGAGUUGCCUUGUAAACGUUAUAACAAAUUCACCGGGACCACAUCACAAUCCGCUCAUUUCCUCUCGGCUCCCUGAGACACAACUUGCUGCAGAAAGGAUUCAUUUGUAGUGUGUGCUUGAAACACUACAAGGAAAAUGCUCAGAACAGAGGACCUGCCUACUCUUCAAAUCCUUUUCCUUCCCAUCAGAAGUGAGGGAGAAAAGUGAGUGUCAGCAGCUUCACGGGGAUAAACCAACAGCACAUCUUGGACACAGCUAGCCAAGAAAGCAGCCCCAGAAAGGAGCACACAGAAGAUGUGUAAAUUCUGUCCAAGGAAUUUGGAAGGUCUGGGGCAGAGCAGUAGCACACUGUCAGCCUAAUUACACAAUAAAACCUGCCAGAGUGCAGCCAGAACAACCAUUUAUGGAGUCAGCUGAUGCCGAAAAAACAUGUUGUUUACAGCAUAGCAUCUACUCUGCCUGAAAAUCACCCAAAGAGAGGAAGGAACUGGG
ensembl:lncRNA